rnacentral:rRNA from 1 species
UACGUAGGGGGCAAGCGUUGUCCGGAAUCAUUGGGCGUAAAGCGCGUGUAGGCGGCCAGGUAAGUCCGUUCUGAAAGCCCGGGGCUCAACCCCGGGAGGCGGAUGGAUACUGCGUGGCUCGAGUCCGGAAGAGGCGAGUGGAAUUCCCGGUGUAGCGGUGAAAUGCGCAGAUAUCGGGAGGAACACCAAUGGCGAAGGCAGGUCUCUGGGCAGUAACUGACGCUGAGGAGCGAAAGCGUGGGGAGCGAACAGG